ensembl:lncRNA
UGAAAACCUUUAUUGACACAGAAAACCUGAAGAGAAGCAGAGCAUGAAGAAGUUGACAUCAUUCAGCUUAUAUCUGUAUGUAGCUACAAAGCCAGGGAUUAGAAUCUGCUGCAGACACAGUCCUUCCUGUUGGGCUUCUUUGAAGUGCACUGCCUGGCUGCACAGUUGGGUCACUGUAAAGUAAAUUCUCUGCAGACUCUGCAGGUAGUUGGAUGUCCACACCAACACUCACUCUCACUGUAGCUACACAAAUCUGUACUUUAUACAUUUAUAGCCCGUGAAAAUUCAAACGAAUCAUCGUAGGAUAACUUAAAUGUCCAACAACCCCACAAAACAUGAAAACUGCACCAAACACCACAAAAUAAUCCACAUUAAGGCCAAAGUAACAAGUCUUCUCACCCAAGAAGAGGAUAUCAGGCCCUUGUAGAGCAAAAUUUAGUAUUAUGGUCUAGACAACCCAAAAUGUGAGAUCCAUGUGGACUCCAGGUCCUAGGUUAAUUUAUCACCUGUCAUGUUAUUAGGUACAAUUGUAAUGUAUUGUUUAUGUCCCUUAAAUAAACAGGUAGUUUUAAAGUAUAAAAUAUUCAAUAUAUACAAAAAAAUAUACAAAGGCCUCAAUGUGAGCUUGAAGCCAUUUAUAAUGUUUGAGUUGUUUAAUGUGUAGGUGCUCACAACAAACAGAUUUUGAAUUAAAGCCAGGGAACAUUGCUAACACAAAAAGUGUCUAAUCUUCGUGCACAUAUGGAUCAGUCAUAUUACCAUUAUUUCCCCCUAAGGUGUUGGCAAAGGCACUAAGUUAAUACUUGAAAAAGCUUCUCAGUCACUCAGGUCAACCUAGUCUAAGGAGCUUGGAAAGAAAAUGGGACGGGGUGUCUCGUCACCAUUUUCUCUUUAGAACUGAACGUUCUUGGAUGAGAGGUGAAACGUCUUCAAGAAACUUAAAGAAGUCCAGAUACUUUUCUUUUCUUUCCAAGCUCAGACUAUAAACUAUUUACUUAGUGACAACUUUGCUUUUAACCUUUAAUCAGAAAGCCUUAUGUUGGCUAGUUAUGUAUCAGGGUAACAUUUAAAGCUUUCACUGUACAGAACUGAACUGUCAGUUUCUGUUUGAUAAUGGGCUGUUGUGGUGAAUGAAAUAGUUACAAGUCCAUGCAGUUUUAAGUCUGAAGAGGCUGUUUGCUGUGUUGAUCAGCAGGAUGCUCUUUUGAAGGCUGAUGCUUUUUUCUGUAGAUCAGAAAACCAAGAACGGCAAUAACAAGAAGCACAGCAGAAACACUCAGAAUCAAAGACACGUCUCCAUCCUUCAUCUGUCUGUCCUGCAGAUCCACCCAGUUCUUAAAAGAUGGAUGCUGGUGAUCUGGAAAAUAACUGAUCAUCCUGGUACACAAGGACAUAUUCAU